UGCCAGCAGCCGCGGUAAUACGGAGGGUGCAAGCGUUAUCCGGAUUUACUGGGUUUAAAGGAUGCGUAGGUGGCUUAAUAAGUUAGUGGUGAAAUCCUACAGCUUAACUGUAGAACUGCCAUUAAAACUGUUAGGCUUGAGUAUAGUUGAGGCGGGUGGAAUGUAACAUGUAGCGGUGAAAUGCUUAGAUAUGUUACAGAACACCGAUUGUGAAGGCAGCUCGCUAGACUAUAACUGACACUGAGGCAUGAAAGCGUGGGGAGCGAACAGGAUUAGAUA
rnacentral:rRNA from 1 species